rnacentral:rRNA from 1 species
AUCUACAACCAUAACACGCUGAACGUGCCCAAUCUCAUCUGAUCUCGGAAGCUAAGUAGGGUAGGACCUUGUUAGUCCUUGGAUGGGAGACCGCCUAGGAAUGCUACGUGCUGUAGGCU